GAUGAAGAACGUAGCGAAAUGCGAUAAGUAAUGUGAAUUGCAGAAUUCAGUGAAUCAUCGAGUCUUUGAACGCACAUUGCGCCCCCUGGUAUUCCGGGGGGCAUGCCUGUCCGAGCGUCAUUGCUGCCCUCAAGCACGGCUUGUGUGUUGGGCCCCCGUCCCCGGUUUCCCCCGGGGACGGGCCCGAAAGGCAGCGGCGGCACCGCGUCCGGUCCUCGAGCGUAUGGGGCUUUGUCACCCGCUCUGUAGGCCCGGCCGGCGCCAGCCGAUACCCAACUUUAUUUCUAAGGUUGACCUCGGAUCAGGUAGGGAUACCCGCUGAACUUAAGCAUAUCAAUAAGCGGAGGA
rnacentral:misc_RNA from 1 species